CGGCGGAGAGCUGGGAUGGAGCGCGCCUUGGCCCGCUGGCCUUGGCUGCAGCUCCUCGGGAGAGCCGGGGCGCCCACGCGAGAACCUCCCUACCUGAGGACGCUGGGAACACGGAUUCCUGGAUCCCACCAGCCUACGAAGAAAGCCACGGGCGGCGACCCCUGGGACCAGGACGACCAAGGAGGAGGACGACCAGAACUGACCAGCCAGCCCCCUUGGCUAAAGGCUUAGACCUGUGCCCUAGUGAGGGGGCAUUGGUCGCCAACCCCUGACCUUUGCUAUGCUUCUGCCUUGUUGCUCUGAUACUUGCCUCUAUGUCUCUGCCUGUGUUAACCUGCCAGCGCCCUGGAGGGUUGCCAUCCCCAGGGAGGUGUCAGUCUUUCUCGCUCCACUUGUUGUCGCCCGAAUGACGUCCUGAACGGAAGGGUCCCUUUGGGAACGUCUCGGGAGGCCGACCUGGGCCAAGGGCACAACCAGCAUCUCACUGGCAAUUCCAAGGCCCUGGGUGGGCUUCUGGAAUGAGCAUGAGCCCCGACGUCAUGCCAUGGAACUGCCAGGGGCACCCCCCCUCCUUUGAGCUCUCCCUGUCCCUCCUGGGGGGACAGGGACGAGAAGAGCAGUCUCCCAGGGGGUUGUGAGUAUUGAAUGAGAUGAAGUCGCCUCGGGCAGGGCCAGGCAUAGAGGAGGCAGUCGGCAAAUGUUUGUUGAUAAAGUUUGGCCGAUCAGUCCAGCCCCGGCCCGCUCCCGUGUCUCACCGUCUCAUUUAUUCUCCCACAGCACUCCGGAUGGCCCCUGGCCACGGGGCUCUGCCCGCACCAGCCAAGCUUCUCGAAAGGUCUGUCUUCACUCGCUGGCUUCCUUGCUCACCUCCAAUGUCCUCUCCAACCCACUGCUUCUUGACCUCUGCGCCGUCGAGCGGCUCUCGCGAAGACGCCCCCUCUCCCCUCUCUGGAGACGUCUUAGAGUCACCUGCUCCUGGCCUCUGUCCUUCUUAGCCUCUCCCAGGAAUAGCCAGACCUCCCACCUUCUGGAACCUGCCUGGGUUGGAGUCUGAACCACUGAGCGCUGAGGCCUUGGGGUCGGCCUGUCCUCGACGCACUGGCAGCGAGCGUCGGCUGAAGAACCGGAUGGAAGAGGCGGGAGAGUCACCACGGACCGGCGUUCCUUCAGGUCGGUCGCCUGGCGUCUUCGGGCUGCGACUCCUUCCCGGAUCGGGCUGAAGCCAUCAUCUGUGUCCUCCGUCGGAAGGGACCUCAGACAUGUGGCUCCUGCACCCUCCAGCUCUGAAAUCGGCAGGCUAGGAUGCAAGUGGCCUUGCUGGGGGGCCCUUCCAAGGGCCGAGGGACCAGCCUCUCGAACGGGCUCGGCGCUCCAGUGACCUUCGCGUCCCCCUCCUCCUUGAAUUGUCUGGAAAACAGAAUGGACAGAUUUUCUGUCUUCAAAGUUUCCGGCUAAACCUCUUCAAAGUUCUUUAUUGUUUGGGACUGAGACACUCAGCAGUGCUAAUGGGUAGUUCCUUUUGUAUUUGCCCUGAAAGGCCAAAAUAUUUUUAUAUCGCUCCAGACAAAGCCGUCUAUUUUAAGAUGAACUCUGUCCGUCGUUGGCCACCGGGGAGACGGUGUCCGCCGUGUGUGUGUCUGUGUGCUCUCGGGUCUUGAAACGGGUUUCUCCUGGGGAUGGCCAUUCACAGGGGUCCAGGGGGAAGCGCCUGCCCCCCCGAAGGGGGCCUGGGGAAGCGGGGACUGGGGCAUCCCGCCCUAAUUGCAGAUCUGCCACCCCCACCCACCCCCACCCCCUCUGUGUAGGAUAUGAGCCCCUGGGGCGGUGGGGGCGGGUUCUGGCUGCACUAACAUUUCCUGUGCCUGCGCCUGCACCUGCCAUGCGUAUGUGUUGGGGACCGUGGGUUGUGUGCACCUGGGUGGUUAAUUCAGUGGGAGGAGCUGGGAGGUCAGAGAUACUGUGAAGGUUCUAUUCUGGUUGGGAGGUCACGGCUGGGAGGUGUGACCUGGUCCAAACAAGCGAAUGGAUGCAUCCGUGGAUGAAAGCAUGCAGGAAUGAGCAAACAGAGAAACAGGGAGAGAAGGAAUCAAGCCCGGGUGAGAGUGUGCCCUGAGUGAGAGCCCACCGAUGCCCAGGACGUCAGUGGUUGUGUCAGGAAGUCGGGACUCGGGAUAGACAUAGGGCCACGUCGGAAGCAAGGUCAGGUCAUCGUGGGCGGAGCGACCCGUGAACUUUGGGUAUCGGGCACCUGAAGUUUGUCAUUAAAGGAUAAAACCUAGAUGGAAGAAAGAAUGAGUUAGAGGUGGACACGCGUAAACCAGGGGUGACAAUGAGAUGAUGAGGCCCAGCGGGGGAGACGGUGCAGGAGAGGGAAGGAGUGACUGAAAGGGGGAGGCACACGGAGAGAGCCCCCAAAAUGAGUAUUUUUAAAAUUAGGGGGCGAGGACAUCUCUAUGGAGGACAGGGUCACGUGAUUAUGAGCCAAGCAUUAGGAUGACUCCAAAUGCAUACUCCCGGCACAAAAAAGGAAAGAACCUGCAGACGGAGAGUUCUGGAAAAAGAUGAGCUGGAAAAGGACCCAGGGAACCAACGAUGAGGGUUAACUUUAGCCUAAAGUUUUCCGACUCUGGGCCCGUGUAGAUAAGUAAAUGCCCAAACGAAAGAAAGCAGAGGGACCACCAAAGGGAUGAGUGAGCAGCGGACAUCCCUGGGCCCAGAUGGGAGCAUUGGCAGGAGGGGCUUCGAGUCAUCUGCUCCCGGGCACUGAGGUUCCACGAAAGGAUUAAAAAGAGAGAGAAUGGAGUUCCCGUCGUGGCGCAGUGGUUAACGAAUCCGACUAGGAACCAUGAGGUUGCAGGUUCGGUCCCUGCCCUUGCUCAGUGGGUUAAGGAUCCGGUGUUGCCGUGAGCUGUGGUGUAGGUUGCAGAUGCGGCUCGGAUCCCGUGUUGCUGUGGCUCUGGCAUAGGGUGGUGGCUAUAGCUCCCAUUAGACCCCUAGCCUGGGAACCUCCAUAUACCGCGGGAGUGGCCCAAAGAAAUGGCAAAAAGACAAAAAAAGAGAGAGAGAGAGAGAGAGAGAGAGAGAGAGAGAGAGAGAGAGAGAGAGAAAUAAGAUGUCUAACUCCAAAUCAUGACAUUGGGAGGAAAAAGGAACAGGUGUUAAGUAGAGGAAUGCAUUCGUGGGUGAGUACAUACACAUAUUAAAAAAGGCAGGGCUCUGGGAGUAGGGGUCAGAGGCUGUCAUGAAUCCAGGAUGCGGCUGGUCCAAUUCUAAAGCCAUAAUAGCGUCACAAAAUAAUAGGCAUCAAAAUACACAAGUGGAAAAAAAAAAAUGGAAAAGGGGAGUUCCCUUCGUGGCUCAGGGGUUAAUAAACCUGACUAGCAUCUGUGAGGAUGCAGGUUCGGUCCCUGGCCUCCCUCAGUGGGUUAGGGAUCUGGCGUUGGCCUGAGCUGUGGUGUAGGUUGCAGACGUGGCUCUCGGAUCUGGCGUGGCUGUGGCUGUGGCUGUGGCGUAGGCUGGUGGCUACAGCUCUGAUUCGAUCCCUAGCCUGGGAACCUCCAUAUGCUGCGGGUGUGGCCCUAAAGUAGCAACCCCCCCAAACUCCCCUCCAACCCCAGCCCCCACAAAUGCAUGAGUAUCUAAAGAAAGAGAUGGGGUGGAGUGAGCGGGGAGGAGUCUUCGGCCGUAGGCACCCCCGAUGCUGUUGGGGGUUUGUAAUUACCCGUCCCCCCAGUCCCCAUCCCGGUCUGGGCACCAAAGCUGCAGGGGAAUGAAGGAAGCCAAGUGAGAGAAAGUGAGGAAAGAGGUUUGGAAGCUGUGACAAAAGCAAGGGUGAAGAGGUGAUGAAUGGCAGCUCUUUGGAAGCGGCAGGCUCAGGCGUGUUAAUGAAGGACUGACUGGUCCAAACCGUGGAUCCUCACGGGUUAGAGCCCUGACCUGGAUUCAUGGAGGAGUCGGCGGCACCUGAUCAAAAGAGAGAUGAGGAAGGGAGGGCGGGAGCGAGGGGGUGCGGAGACGCAGCCCCUGGGGUGGCUGUUGCAGGUGGCGGUAGGUUUAUCACUUCAUGGCGCCUGAGCUCCAAACAAUGAAAGAAUGCAAGAAAGAGUGAGAAAACCGGGAACAGGGGAAACGAAUUAAAAAUCAGAAAUUAAAGGCGGACUUAAACAUGGAAAAAGGAGAAGGGUGACCUAUUAACCAACAGAGGACUAUGUAGUUGAGAGAGAGCUGUUUUAGGAGCGGGAAUGAGAGGGGGGCGCACCCAACUCCCCUGAUGUAUUCACGUCUGGGCUGCGAUGGGCCACGCCCCCCGCCCAGGGCGCCGUUCAGAGCUGCCAUCUGUGAGGAUGGACCCACUGACUGGGUGAUCAUGUGUCCAGUUAGGGGCCCUUGCCAUCUAGACGCGUGAAAAAUAAGUGUUAAGGGGAAAGAAAGCCUGCACGGAUGCGUGCCUGGACGAGGGAAUGGAUGAGAAAAAAGAUGUGCAGGGGCCAGCGAGGCGAGUGUUACAGAGGGGCUUAGGCUUCAUCCAGUCCCUGGUGCCUGAUCUCCUAGAGGAAGAAAGGCAGCAAGAAGAAAGGUUGAAUGACUGGU
rnacentral:lncRNA from 1 species